rnacentral:rRNA from 1 species
GACGAACGCUGGCGGCGUGCCUAAUACAUGCAAGUCGGGCGGACUUGAUGGAGUGCUUGCACUCCUGAUGGUUAGCGGCGGACGGGUGAGUAACACGUAGGCAACCUGCCCUGAAGACUGGGAUAACUACCGGAAACGGUAGCUAAUACCGGAUAAUUUAUUUUGCUGCAUAGCGAAAUAAUGAAAGACGGAGCAAUCUGUCACUUGAGGAUGGGCCUGCGGCGCAUUAGCUAGUUGGUGGGGUAAUGGCUCACCAAGGCGACGAUGCGUAGCCGACCUGAGAGGGUGAACGGCCACACUGGGACUGAGACACGGCCCAGACUCCUACGGGAGGCAGCAGUAGGGAAUCUUCCGCAAUGGACGAAAGUCUGACGGAGCAACGCCGCGUGAGUGAUGAAGGUUUUCGGAUCGUAAAGCUCUGUUGCCAGGGAAGAACGCUCAGGAGAGUAACUGCUCCUGGGGUGACGGUACCUGAGAAGAAAGCCCCGGCUAACUACGUGCCAGCCGCCGCCGUAAUAC